rnacentral:rRNA from 1 species
CUUUGAGGUUAUACCACAAUGUGCUGUGAUCCCAUUAGCUCUCAUAUGCAUCAAGGUUGGACCUGCUCAUUACUUGGAUGGGAGACCUCCAAAGAACACACCAGUGCAACAGGAU